rnacentral:rRNA from 1 species
UGACGUCAAAUCAUCAUGCCCCUUAUGACCUGGGCUACACACGUGCUACAAUGGUUGGUACAACGAGUUGCGAGUCGGUGACGGCGAGCUAAUCUCUUAAAGCCAAUCUCAGUUCGGAUUGUAGGCUGCAACUCGCCUACACGAAGUCGGAAUCGCUAGUAAUCGCGGAUCAGCACGCCGCGGUGAAUACGUUCCCGGGUCUU